AAUUCGCCCUUGAGCACGUAGGUGGGUUUGUAAGUCAGGUGUGAAAGCCUUCUGUUCAACGGGAGAAUUGCAUCUGAAACUACGAAUCUUGAGUGUAGGAGGGGAGAAUGGAACUCCUGGCGGAGCGGUGAAAUGCGUAGAUAUCAGAAGGAACGCCGGCGGCGAAAGCGAUUCUCUGGCCUAUUACUGACACUCAGUGUGCGAAAGCUAGGGGAGCAAACGGGAUUAGAUACCCCGGUAGUCCUAGCCGUAAACGAUGGGCACUAAGUAGAGGGGAUUACCGACGUUCUCUCUGCCGUAGCUAACGCAUUAAGUGCCCCGCCUGGGGAGUACGGCCGCAAGGCUAAAACUCAAAAGAAUUGACGGGGGCUCGCACAAGCGGUGGAGCAUGUGGCUUAAUUCGAUGCAACGCGAGGAACCUUACCGGGGCUUGACAUGGUAGAAGUAGGAACCCGAAAGGGUAACGAACGGUAUCCAGUCCGUAGCUAUCACAGGUGUUGCAUGGCUGUCGUCAGCUCGUGUCGUGAGACGUUGGGUUAAGUCCCCUAACGAGCGAAACCCUUGUUUUUAGUUACCAGCGGGUUAUGCCGGGUACUCUAGAAAGACUGCCGUCGUCAAGACGGAGGAAGGUGGGGAUGACGUCAAGUCAUCAUGGCCCUUAUGCCCCGGGCUGCACACGUGCUACAAUGGUCGGUACAAACGGAAGCGAAGCCGAGAGGUGAAGCGAAUCCAAGGGCGAAUU
rnacentral:rRNA from 1 species